GUCGAGCGAACGGACGAGAAGCUUGCUUCUCUGAUGUUAGCGGCGGACGGGUGAGUAACACGUGGAUAACCUACCUAUAAGACUGGGAUAACUUCGGGAAACCGGAGCUAAUACCGGAUAAUAUUUUGAACCGCAUGGUUCAAAAGUGAAAGACGGUCUUGCUGUCACUUAUAGAUGGAUCCGCGCCGCAUUAGCUAGUUGGUAAGGUAACGGCUUACCAAGGCAACGAUGCAUAGCCGACCUGAGAGGGUGAUCGGCCACACUGGAACUGAGACACGGUCCAGACUCCUACGGGAGGCAGCAGUAGGGAAUCUUCCGCAAUGGGCGAAAGCCUGACGGAGCAACGCCGCGUGAGUGAUGAAGGUCUUCGGAUCGUAAAACUCUGUUAUUAGGGAAGAACAUAUGUGUAAGUAACUGUGCACAUCUUGACGGUACCUAAUCAGAAAGCCACGGCUAACUACGUGCCAGCAGCCGCGGUAAUACGUAGGUGGCAAGCGUUAUCCGGAAUUAUUGGGCGUAAAGCGCGCGUAGGCGGUUUUUUAAGUCUGAUGUGAAAGCCCACGGCUCAACCGUGGAGGGUCAUUGGAAACUGGAAAACUUGAGUGCAGAAGAGGAAAGUGGAAUUCCAUGUGUAGCGGUGAAAUGCGCAGAGAUAUGGAGGAACACCAGUGGCGAAGGCGACUUUCUGGUCUGUAACUAACGCUGAUGUGCGA
rnacentral:rRNA from 1 species